GGAGACAACGGUCCAGCAACCCAAAGUUGACUGGGAGACGACGACCUAGACCUCUCACGAACACAUCGCAGCAUCCUCCAAGCGCCUCAUCCUGCGGUACCUGUUCUUGGCCUGUGGGGGUGUGAGACAGCAAGAGUGAGCUCACAUACGUUCAUCGCUCAACAAGUUGUGGGGAAUAAUGUGUAUGAACUCGCCAAAGGUGGGAGCUCAUGUGAAGUGUAAGGCUUACCAAAGAGGAUGGCUGAAGCUGAGCAUUGCUUUUAAAGUUGGUCAAAAUUUUAUUAGCAAUUACUAAGUAUAAGUAAAUACCAACCCAAUUAAGCAGUAGAACACAAGUAACAACAUCACCUGCGAUGCAAUGCAUAUGACAAAUUGAAUUUAGUUCCAUAAGUUAAUCAUGUGAGGGUCUGAGCUGCUCAUGACCGUGAGCACGGCUAGUAUACCAGUUUUACACUCUGCAGAGGUUGCGCAUCUUUACCAACAAGUCAUGUUACCCAUCUGCCAAGGGAUCGCGACUUCCCGUACACCUCUACUGAGGAGGCGAGGCAGGGUAACACUACGAGGCCUUUACAAAGUUCCACUAGCUUCAGAAAACCCGCUACAGUUUAUAGGAAGCUCCAAUGCAGGAAUCCCUUGCAGGACCGCCAUCGCAGCAAAAUCCUCCCGAGGGCCUCCCUACACUGACCACUCCCCUACUGCCCUUGCCCCUUUCGGGUAAGGUAGUCCUCCACUAGCUUUCCUAAUUAAUCAGCCAAGGGCGUCCCAUUAUACCCUUGUGGUAGCACUGUUUUCCCGGGUGGUCGCUCCAUGUUCCAAUUAACAUAAUGAUCUUAUCAUGAAGAGUGAUAAUAAACAGAUAAUAAAAGUGUAAUCAUGAGUAAUGUAUCUUCAUACCCAAAACCACAUAAAGCACUAGCAAGUACUACCCAAAAAGUUUAGUGGUAAACAAGGUAUAAAGAUAAUCAAACUAGGGUAACCUAUUGGGUCCCAUCAAAAUUAACCUAUGCAGAUCAUUAUGAUUAAUUAGAACAUGAGUGGGUAAAAGGAAGUGAUCAAGGGCACAACUUGCCUGGCACUUGAGAUUCCAGUUACCAGGGUGAUUCUUCAGAUCCUCGUGAUCUCACUGCUAGUCGUAGCAAUACAAACAAACAUGGUAUAGACAGAAUUAACAUCACACCAACCAUAAGUACUAACUUCAUAAAAAUAAUCUACACGUUGCUACGAGAUCGUGGGUUUGGGAACUAUUAAAAUCAGAGUUAAAACGAAUUAUGGGUAAAACAAUAUUUCUAGGCGCAAUAAAUCUAAUAGAUGUUGCACUUAAAUUAGGCAUGUAUUAAGUUAAAAUAUUUGAGUUGAUAUUAAUCAAUUUAACAAUUAUUUAUAAUAAGAGUAUGUUACAACUAUAAAUUAGAUUAACUAGAUUGCCUAGCUAACUAGCAUUAAUUAAACAAUUAAUUAAUUAUUUAAAACAUGUGGUAUAAUUAAAACAAUGUUAUUACUACGUACGCAAAAAAAUAAUAUGAACCUAACACAACUUGAACAAAUUAUUUGACCUAAAAGAUAUCACAUUUUUUUAUAAAUUAGUAGAGCUACAUAGAAAUAUGUGAUAUGAUGGUGGGAAAUUAAUCAUCGAAGUUGUCGCUAAAGUUGUGGAGGAACUCGAAUUUCGACAAGAUGGUCAUAGUGGCUUAUGGUUGCGAGCUUAGCUGACGUGGAUCGCUGAUAUUGGCUCCUGCCCACCAUGCGUGCGGCGGUGCUGGUCAACCGCCCCCGCAUGGCGUGAGCUGCUCCCUACGAUGCUCUCCAUUUCCCAUCUCUAUGCUUACGGGUGAAAGACGACUCCUCAUGUUUUAGCUGGCUCCUAGCAUUGGCUAUGGUCUAGGGAUGGUCGAGGCUCACGACUAUAUAUAUAUCCGGGGACCGAAUCCUAGCGUGGGAGAUUGUUCGGUUAAGAUUUGUUGCCAGGAAAUUCCCAACGAACCCGCUUAGUUCUGUUUUGAUUACCGGGAGAAUGAAGAAACUAGCGCUGCGGUCUCACAUGUCACCCAGAGCAGCCACAAAUAAUCCCUCGCAUCCCAUGACUAAUAGAAAAAUUUCCACCAAGCCACGUGUGUGUGGGGUUCCUUUUUUUUCCUCAACAACCCCCAUGUACGACUUGUUCUUUUCUUUCCAGGUUCUACGUGCAAGAAGUUGCUUUCUCCCUCCGUCUUUCUUCUACCUCCGAUCAAUGAGCAGCCAUGGUUGGGGGAGAAGGGAAGAGGGGUCGGCCAGGACGCUCGACCACACAGGCCAGCCAUGCACAGGGUGGGGCUGCGCCCGAGGGGGGCUGGGUUGCCGGGGAGCCGAGCGCUAGACAAGCGAGCAUGGGGCACAUCGGAGCAGCAGAGCUGCGGCGGUGCGCAACAGCAGGCUGCGGGCGACACACAAGCACGACUGUUUUGUAGCCAUAGCGUACGUUGCAAAACUGUGCAGAGAAACAAAGAGGGAAGGAGAUCUCACCUUCAAUGAAGCAGACUGGUUGACAACGGCGCGCAGGUCCGCGUUGAGGUGCCGGUUCUACGGUGGACAGGGGCAAGCUCUAGUCGAACGGUUCCAGGGAGCGCCCGAACGACGACGAACACAGAAAUCCGUGGCGGCGGCGAUUUCUCCCCCAGCGGCGGUCCUUUUCACUCGGUGAUGAGCUUCGACCCUCUCUGCGCUCAGCGAUACGGCUAGCCCAGCGAGGAUCACCAGACGGAUGAGGGGGUUCCCGAUGGCCCGCGAUUUAUACCCAGGCGGUAAGUCCGAGGGAAUGGAGGUAGGGACGAGAUCCCCGGCCAGAAUCGCGCAACAGAACAGAGUCUGUUGGGGUGUUUCGUGAUGGCAGGUAGAUGGAGCACCUGGCGCCUGGGCCCAUGAUGCCAGCGACAGGACACAGUGCAGGCGCGCGGCACUGCAGUCUGGGUAAUGGGACCCAUGCGUCAGUGACACGCAACCAGGGACCUGUUCACGGUGAACAAAAGGAAUAGAAGCGCAGGAGACUGGGCCAGAACGUGGAUUCGUCCCAGGUAGAACAAGGUGAGGUCUUCUCUUUCUUAUUUUCUUGUUUUAUUUCCUGUUUUAUAUUUCUAUUCAAAUCCAGGUUUGAAUUUUUAAAAUUUUAAGUUAGAUGCACAAACAAACUCCAACAUGAUGCAGGUAUAAUUUAUUUUAAUUAAUUUAUUUACGCAAAAAAAAUGAUUCAAUUAUACCAUCCGCACAAUAUUCUUUUCCCAUAAGUUAUUUCAUUUUAAAUAUUUCUGUUAAGGGAUGCAUUUGUAUAUAGUUCAUAAAGAGAAUAAUAAAAAGUCUUCCUUGUGUUUAUGGUCCCAAGCUUUUAAGUUUAUGUUUUUUUUCAGAAUAACAUUUAAAAAUGAGGAACCUUAUUUUAAAAUACCUUUUAACCCUAAAUCUUAUAAAGAAAUAUUUAUAAAUCUUAGAAUAGGAUUUUGGGUGUUACAAAUCCUACCCCCUUAACAGAAAUCUCGUCCUCGAGAUUUGUAAGAAGAGGGAUACAGAAGGAUUGGUUUGUAAUUUAGCUUCUAAUUGUUUUUAAUAGGAGAGGGAUCUAGAUAGGUUGAUUUGUGGUUUAUCUUUUAGUUUCUAAAUGGUCCAAAUACCAAAAGCUCUUUUUUUAGUAGCAAGGGGAAUAUAAGCAUCUUCUAUAUCAAGGCAAGGUGAAAUUAGGUUAAAGCGAGGAUGUGUCGGGGUAAGAAAGAGUACGGUAAGGAAAGACUCCAUCCAACAGUGUGGAUCUUGAUUCCUUUGAAGAUCCAACUUGAUCUUUGAAGACUUGAGUUGAUGCUUAUCCUUCUUUGACGUGGUUGGUCUUCUUUGGCCCUCAAUCCUGGAGUUGCCAUCCGAGUUGAGGACAUAUGGCUAAGGAUAUAUAGCUAGGAUAACUAGGGUACAUGAGGUAGUUAGGUUUGAACAGAGUUGUAUUUUGCUUUCGGAACAAAUGGACUAGGCAGCCUGUGAUGUAGGUUAUAUUGUUGUUUACGGACGAGUUGGUAUAAGACAUUAAUUUAGGUUAGGUUAUGUUUGUUGAAGCAAAGUCUAACCCAUAUCACCAGAUUAACUAACCUGUUAAUAACUUACUUUUGAUUGGAUCAUAUUAGAUUAGAUCGGUUAAGAUAUGAGGUCAAUUAGAUCUAUUAGGAUAAGAUUACAUUUUUUCAAGAUAAGAUGAAUCUAUUAAGGUGAGAGGGUAUCUUUUAAGAUAAGAUGGAUCUAUUGAGAUGAGAUAGAUCUUUAAUGAAGGAUAAUCUAGAUUUAUUUAGUUAUCUUAUGAAUUAUAUUUAUGCCUAUAUGUAUAUGCAGAUGUAAUUGUGGACAUUACUCCACAACUCAUCACACUCAAUCAAAGAUCCAAAUCAGACAAGUAUCAUAAGAACAAACACUCAAGUAUACAAAUAUUUACAAAAAUAGUUUUGAUUUUUUUCCUAAGAGUAGGUCUCCUAUUCUUAAAGGUCACUUUGUACAGGAUUUCAAAGUGCGAAAUCCACUUUUGUCUUUAGAAGGAAAAGGUAAGAAUACUCAGAGUAAAGCGGAAAUAGAUGAGAACAGAUUAAGAAAAGUUUAGAAAAGAAUCAGAGUAGAAAAGGUAAGUAAGUAUUGGUUGUCCAGUUCUAUCUAGGUUUCGUCCUACAGUCAACAUUUCCUCUGAUACCACUUCUGUCACACCCGGGUUUUAGGGGCACCAAGACCCGGGCGCGAACAUAUUCACCAGGUGUGCUGGGACCAAGUCUCACACAUAUGAUGAAUCAUGGCACAGUAUCGAAUGUCACAUCUUUACUACAUAACAGAAGUUCUAUACAAAAUAAAUAAAUAAUUACAUUAUAAGGAGACAACGGUCCAGCAACCCAAAGUUGACUGGGAGACGACGGCCUAGACCUCUCACGAACACAUCGCAGCAUCCUCCAAGCGCCUCAUCCUGCGGUACCUGUUCUUGGCCUGUGGGGGUGUGAGACAGCAAGAGUGAGCUCACAUACGUUCAUCGCUCAACAAGUUGUGGGGAAUAAUGUGUAUGAACUCGCCAAAGGUGGGAGCUCAUGUGAAGUGUAAGGCUUACCAAAGAGGAUGGCUGAAGCUGAGCAUUGCUUUUAAAGUUGGUCAAAAUUUUAUUAGCAAUUACUAAGUAUAAGUAAAUACCAACCCAAUUAAGCAGUAGAACACAAGUAACAACAUCACCUGCAAUGCAAUGCAUAUGACAAAUUGAAUUUAGUUCCAUAAAUUAAUCAUGUGAGGGUCCGAGCUGCUCAUGACCGUGAGCACGGCUAGUAUACCUGUUUUACACUCUGCAGAGGUUGCGCAUCUUUACCCACAAGUCAUGUUACCCAUCUGCUAAGGGAUCGCGACUUCCCGUACACCUCUACCGAGGAGGCGAGGCACUACGAGGCCUUUACAAAGUUCCACUAGCUUCAGAAAACCCGCUACAGUUUAUAGGAAGCUCCAAUGCAGGAAUCCCUUGCAGGACCGCCAUCGCAGCAAAAUCCUCCCGAGGGCCUCCCUACACUGACCACUCCCCUACUGCCCUUGCCCCUUUCGGGUAAGGUAGUCCUCCACUAGCUUUCCUAAUUAAUCAGCCAAGGGCGUCCCAUUAUACCCUUGUGGUAGCACUGUUUUCCCGGGUGGUCGCUCCAUGUUCCAAUUAACAUAAUGAUCUUAUCAUGAACAGUGAUAAUAAACAGAUAAUAAAAGUGUAAUCAUGAGUAAUGUAUCUUCAUACCCAAAACCACAUAAAGCACUAGCAAGUACUACCCAAAAAGUUUAGUGGUAAACAAGGUAUAAAGAUAAUCAAACUAGGGUAACCUAUUGGGUCCCAUCAAAAUUAACCUAUGCAGAUCAUUAUGAUUAAUUAGAACAUGAGUGGGUAAAAGGAAGUGAUCAAGGGCACAACUUGUCUGGCACUUGAGAUUCCAGUUACCAGGGUGAUUCUUCAGAUCCUCGUGAUCUCACUGCUAGUCGUAGCAAUACAAACAAACAUGGUAUAGACAGAAUUAACAUCACACCAACCAUAAGUACUAACUUCAUAAAAAUAAUCUACACGUUGCUACGAGAUCGUGGGUUUGGGAACUAUUAAAAUCAGAGUUAAAACGAAUUAUGGGUAAAACAAUAUUUCUAGGCGCAAUAAAUCUAAUAGAUGUUGCACUUAAAUUAGGCAUGUAUUAAGUUAAAAUAUUUGAGUUGAUAUUAAUCAAUUUAACAAUUAUUUAUAAUAAGCGUAUGUUACAACUAUAAAUUAGAUUAACUAGAUUGCCUAGCUAACUAGCAUUAAUUAAACAAUUAAUUAAUUAUUUAAAACAUGUGGUAUAAUUAAAACAAUGUUAUUACUACGUACGCAAAAAAAUAAUAUGAACCUAACACAACUUGAACAAAUUAUUUGACCUAAAAGAUAUCACAUUUUUUUAUAAAUUAGUAGAGCUACACAGAAAUAUGUGAUAUGAUGGUGGGAAAUUAAUCAUCGAAGUUGUCGCUAAAGUUGUGGAGGAACUCGAAUUUCGACAAGAUGGUCAUAGUGGCUUAUGGUUGCGAGCUUAGCUGACGUGGAUCGCUGAUAUUGGCUCCUGCCCACCAUGCGUGCGGCGGUGCUGGUCAACCGCCCCCGCAUGGCGUGAGCUGCUCCCUACGAUGCUCUCCAUUUCCCAUCUCUAUGCUUACGGGUGAAAGACGACUCCUCAUGUUUUAGCUGGCUCCUAGCAUUGGCUAUGGUCUAGGGAUGGUCGAGGCUCACGACUAUAUAUAUAUCCGGGGACCGAAUCCUAGCGUGGGAGAUUGUUCGGUUAAGAUUUGUUGCCAGGAAAUUCCCAACGAACCCGCUUAAUUCUGUUUUGAUUACCGGGAGAAUGAAGAAACUAGCGCUGCGGUCUCACAUGUCACCCAGAGCAGCCACAAAUAAUCCCUCGCAUCCCAUGACUAAUAGAAAAAUUUCCACCAAGCCACGUGUGUGUGGGGUUCCUUUUUUUUUCCUCAACAACCCCCAUGUACGACUUGUUCUUUUCUUUCCAGGUUCUACGUGCAAGCAGUUGCUUUCUCCCUCCGUCUUUCUUCUACCUCCGAUCAAUGAGCAGCCAUGGUUGGGGGAGAAGGGAAGAGGGGUCGGCCAGGACGCUCGACCACACAGGCCAGCCAUGCACAGGGUGGGGCUGCGCCGAAGGGGGGCUGGGUUGCCGGGGAGCCGAGCGCUAGACAAGCGAGCAUGGGGCACAUCGGAGCAGCAGAGCUGCGGCGGUGCGCAACAGCAGGCUGCGGGCGACACACAAGCACGACUGUUUUGUAGCCAUAGCGUACGUUGCAAAACUGUGCAGAGAAACAAAGAGGGAAGGAGAUCUCACCUUCAAUGAAGCAGACUGGUUGACGACGGCGCGCAGGUCCGCGUUGAGGUGCCGGUUCUACGGUGGACAGGGGCAAGCUCUAGUCGAACGGUUCCAGGGAGCGCCCGAACGACGACGAACACAGAAAUCCGUGGCGGCGGCGAUUUCUCCCCCAGCGGCGGUCCUUUUCACUCGGUGAUGAGCUUCGACCCUCUCUGCGCUCAGCGAUACGGCUAGCCCAGCGAGGAUCACCAGACGGAUGAGGGGGUUCCCGAUGGCCCGCGAUUUAUACCCAGGCGGUAAGUCCGAGGGGAUGGAGGUAGGGACGAGAUUCCCGGCCGGAAUCGCGCAACAGAACAGAGUCUGUUGGGGUGUUUCGU
rnacentral:lncRNA from 1 species